ACAUUACAUAGACAAUUAUCUAGCACAGUUAAAAUUAUUUAAAUGCAACAAGUAAGCUAAACAUUAAAAGAAAUUCAUCAUGGUAAAAAUACUAAAAGAAAAAAAAGGGAAAGCAUGAAUAGUGAAAAAUGAACCAUCUUCCAAAGACGUGUCAGUACAGUGGAAUAAAACGCAUGCUCCAAUCUAUUUAUCCAAAUGAAAGCAGCGAGCCAAAUUAAAUUCCUCUCAAUUCUCCAUUCAGCCGUAAGAUAUAAAAAAAUAAAAAAAAAAUUCCUCUCCAAAAGUGCUAAACGUGACAGCUCCAAAAGUGCUAAAUGAAAUAAAAAUGUAAACUUUGCUCAUCAAGGCCGUGACUUGGCAGCAACCGAAAUCUUCGUUUUAUCUUGACAAUCAACGCUGCUCCACUAGAUGUGAGCGUGACUCAAUCAAAACAAUUUAAAUCAUCACCUUCAUCC
rnacentral:lncRNA from 1 species